AGGAUGAACGCUGGCGGAAUGCCUAAUACAUGCAAGUCGAGCGGCAGCGCGAGUAGUUUACUACUUGGCGGCGAGCGGCGGACGGCUGAGUAACGCGUGGGAACGUGCCCCAAAGUGAGGAAUAACUGCCCGAAAGGGUAGCUAAUGCCGCAUAUGAUCUUCGGAUUAAAGGAUUUAUCCGCUUUGGGAGCGGCCCGCGUACGAUUAGAUAGUUGGUGAGGUAAAGGCUCACCAAGUCGACGAUCGUUAACUGAUCUGAGAGGAUGAUCAGUCAGACUGGAACUGAGACACGGUCCAGACUCCUACGGGAGGCAGCAGUAAGGAAUCUUCCACAAUGGACGAAAGUCUGAUGGAGCAAUUCCGCGUGCAGGAUGAAGGCCCUCGGUUGUAAACUGUCUUUUAUUGUGAAGAAUAUGAACGGUAACAAAUAGAAAGUAAGGUCGGACUAACGUACGUGCCAGCAGCCGC
rnacentral:rRNA from 1 species